UUGAAAGGUCUGGCCAUAUGCAGGAGCCAAUGGAGAUGUUCUCUCAUUUUUACAGACAUAUGUUUUUCGUAUUUUUAAUUGGCAAGAAGAAGAGUUUCACGGAUAAGAUGUUUUAUUUAGCAGAGUACAAUCGAAGUCGCACACAUACACAAGCAUACACUCACCCCUAUGAACGCACGCACGCACACCCUACCCCUAUGAGCAUCUUCGAGAGACUAAGUCGGCACAUCAUCUUGAGAUUGACGAAGUCGCCACUGACGCCUUCGUUGUCGACGGAAACGUCUCCUCCCACUGAAAGCACAUCGCCGAAAGACCUGGAAUAAAUCCAGGAAAAUGCAAGCACCAACAUCAAGUCUGAGACUUGAACUCUGGUGGGCAGGGGAUACCACAGUCCUCCUAACCAUCCAACCACAGGUUGG
rnacentral:lncRNA from 1 species